CCAAUAGCGUAUAUUAAAGUUGUUGCGGUUAAAAAGCUCGUAGUUGAAUUUCGGGAUUGACACAUCGGUCGUGCCUUAAGGGGUAUGAACUGGUGUAGUCAAUUUCUCACCUUCUGGAGAACGGCGAUGCCCUUAAUUGGGUGUCACGGGGAACCAGGACCUUUACUUUGAAAAAAUUAGAGUGUUUAAAGCAGGCAUUUUGCUUGAAUACAUUAGCAUGGAAUAAUAAAAUAGGACGGCAUGAUUCUAUUUUGUUGGUUUCUAGGAUCACCGUAAUGAUUAAUAGGGAUAGUUGGGGGCAUUAGUAUUCAAUUGUCAGAGGUGAAAUUCUUGGAUUUAUUGAAGACUAACUACUGCGAAAGCAUUUGCCAAGGAUGUUUUCAUUAAUCAAGAACGAAAGUUAGGGGAUCGAAGACGAUCAGAUACCGUCGUAGUCUUAACCAUAAACUAUGCCGACUAGGAAUCAGACGAUGUUAAUUUUUUAAUGACUCGUUUGGCACCUUACG
rnacentral:misc_RNA from 1 species